rnacentral:rRNA from 1 species
ACGCUAGCUACAGGCUUAACACAUGCAAGUCGAGGGGAAACGGCAUUUAGUGCUUGCACUGAAUGGACGUCGACCGGCGCACGGGUGAGUAACGCGUAUCCAACCUACCCAUUACUGUGGGAUAACCUGCCGAAAGGCAGACUAAUACCGCAUGGUCUUCGAUGACGGCAUCAGAUUUGAAGUAAAGAUUUAUCGGUAAUGGAUGGGGAUGCGUCUGAUUAGCUUGUUGGCGGGGUAACGGCCCACCAAGGCAACGAUCAGUAGGGGUUCUGAGAGGAAGGUCCCCCACAUUGGAACUGAGACACGGUCCAAACUCCUACGGGAGGCAGCAGUGAGGAAUAUUGGUCAAUGGGCGCGAGCCUGAACCAGCCAAGUAGCGUGCAGGAUGACGGCCCUAUGGGUUGUAAACUGCUUUUGUAUGGGGAUAAAGUCAAUCACGUGUGAUUGUUUGCAGGUACCAUACGAAUAAGGACCGGCUAAUUCCGUGCCAGCAGCCGCGGUAAUACGGAAGGUCCGGGCGUUAUCCGGAUUUAUUGGGUUUAAAGGGAGCGUAGGCCGGAGAUUAAGUGUGUUGUGAAAUGUAGACGCUCAACGUCUGACUUGCAGCGCAUACUGGUUUCCUUGAGUACGCACAACGUUGGCGGAAUUCGUCGUGUAGCGGUGAAAUGCUUAGAUAUGACGAAGAACUCCGAUUGCGAAGGCAGCUGACGGGAGCGCAACUGACGCUUAAGCUCGAAGGUGCGGGUAUCGAACAGGAUUAGAUACCCUGGUAGUCCGCACAGUAAACGAUGGAUGCCCGCUGUUGGUACCUGGUAUCAGCGGCUAAGCGAAAGCAUUAAGCAUCCCACCUGGGGAGUACGCCGGCAACGGUGAAACUCAAAGGAAUUGACGGGGGCCCGCACAAGCGGAGGAACAUG